UUUUUGAACCUGUAGAGAACCCCAGGGAUUGCCCUAGUAACGGCGAGUGAAGCGGCAACAGCUCAAAUUUGAAAUCUGGCCUCGGCCCGUUUUGUAAUUUGUAGAGGAUGCUUUUGGCGCGGCGCCUUCUGAGUUCCCUGGAACGGGACGCCAGAGAGGGUGAGAGCCCCGUACGGUUGGACGCCAAGCCUCUGUAAAGCUCCUUCGACGAGUCGAGUAGUUUGGGAAUGCUGCUCAAAAUGGGAGGUAAAUGCCUUCUAAAGCUAAAUACUGGCCAGAGACCGAUAGCGCACAAGUAGAGUGAUCGAAAGAUGAAAAGCACUUUGAAAAGAGGGUUAAAUAGCACGUGAAAUUGUUGAAAGGGAAGCGCUCAUGACCAGACGUGUGCCUCGUGAAUCAUCCGGCGUUCUCGCCGGUGCACUUCGCCUGGCACAGGCCAGCAUCGGUUUUCCCAGGGGGAUAAAAGCCGAGGGAACGUAGCUCUUCCGGGAGUGUUAUAGCCCGUGGCACAAUGCCCUUGGGGGGACCGAGGCCCGCGCUCCGCAAGGAUGCUGGCAUAAUGGUCAUCAGCGACCCGUCUUGAAACACGGACCAAGGAGUCAAGCAUUAGGGCGAGUGUUUGGGUGUCAAACCCGCACGCGAAAUGAAAGUGAACGCAGGUGAGAGCUUCGGCGCAUCAUCGACCCGAUCCUGAUGUAUUCGGAUGGAUUUGAGUAAAAGCCUUACCGCUUGGACCCGAAAGAUGGUGAACUAUGCCUGGAUAGGGUGAACCCAGAGGAAACUCUUGGUGGAGCUCGCAGCGGUCUGACGUGCAAAUCGAUCGUCAAAUCUGGGCAUGGGGGCGAAAGACUAAUCGACCAUUUAUUACUGGUACCCGCCGAAGUUUCCUCAGGAUAGCAGUGUGGUUCAGUUUUUGAGUAACAAUGAUAGGACUCGGGGCCUAUUUGCCUUAUCCUUCUCAACUUUAAUUGUAGAAACCUUGUCUUAUUAACUGGCUUCAAGUUUACCUUGGCAUUUUGUAACAAACUGCAUGCGAUAACCACG
rnacentral:rRNA from 2 species